rnacentral:rRNA from 1 species
AUACGGAGGAUCCAAGCGUUAUCCGGAUUUAUUGGGUUUAAAGGGUGCGCAGGCGGCCUUAUAAGUCAGCGGUGAAAUCUCCCGGCUCAACCGGGAAACUGCCAUUGAUACUGUAAGGCUAGAAUACAGACGAGGUAGGCGGAAUGUAGCAUGUAGCGGUGAAAUGCUUAGAUAUGCUACAGAACACCAAUCGCGAAGGCAGCUUACCAGACUGUAAUUGACGCUAAGGCACGAAAGCGUGGGGAGCGAACAGGAUUAGAAACCCUAGUAGUCC